rfam:Palaeococcus pacificus DY20341, complete genome.
GCGGGGGAAACCCGCGGGAUGUUCCGCUAAGCGGAGAACCAUAAA